GGAAGGAGCAAUAGAAGAUGCUGCAAAUGAACAAGCUGGGCAAGGAACGCGUAAUGGAAUGAGAGUUUGUGAAGUAAUAGGCCUCAGCUGCAUUGGCUCAUUUGUGAAAACCAAACAUGUGAUCUGUGUAUAGGUCUUCCAGAUCAAAGAUACUGUCUUCCUUGCUGCUAGGUUCCCAACAGGGGUAAGUUCCACCUCCAAUAUGGUCAGGAAUUGAUGGCAUCUGCAUGGAAUCAACAGAAAAACCUUCCCCAGGAGCUUCCAUGGUACUCGCAAAAUCAUUCCUAGCGACACUGCUAGAAGUUGUACAACCACGGACUCCAAUAUGAUCAGCAAUUGGUGAUGGCAAACUUGAAGUGUUAAUGGUAGGACCUACUUGACUAGCUCCAACCAACUGCUUGGUCAUUAGCU
rnacentral:misc_RNA from 1 species